AGAGCGGUAGCGGAGCGUUCUGUAAGCCGUUGAAGGGAGACCCGCGAGGGCUCCUGGAGGUAUCAGAAGUGAGAAUGCUGACAUGAGUAGCGACAAAGAGUGUGAGAGACACUCUCGCCGAAAGUCCAAGGGUUCCUGCGCAAUGCUAAUCAGCGCAGGGUUAGCCGGCCCCUAAGGCGAGGCCGAAAGGCGUAGUCGAUGGGAACCAGGUGAAUAUUCCUGGGCCAGCGGGUAGUGACGGAUUGCGGAAGUUGUUCACCCUUAUUGGAUUGGGUGGGCAGCCAAGCCGUCCCUGGAAAUAGCUCCCGCAUUAGACCGUACCCUAAACCGACACAGGUGGACAGGUAGAGUAUACCAAGGCGCUUGAGAGAACUAUGCUGAAGGAACUCGGCAAAUUACUCCCGUAAGUUCGCGAGAAGGGAGCCUGGCUUUGCGCAAGCAAUGUCCAGGGGCACAGACCAGGGGGUGGCGACUGUUUACUAAAAACACAGGGCUCUGCGAAGUCGCAAGACGACGUAUAGGGUCUGACGCCUGCCCGGUGCCGGAAGGUUAAAAGGAGGAGUGCAAGCUCCGAAUUGAAGCCCCGGUAAACGGCGGCCGUAACAAUAACGGUCCUAAGGUAGCGAAAUUCCUUGUCGGGUAAGUUCCGACCUGCACGAAUGGCAUAAUGAUGG
rnacentral:rRNA from 1 species